CUUCAGCGAGCCGAGCCACAGCGGCCGGUCCUCGGGCCGGUCCUGCCCGUAAGUGGCGAUGAGCGCCUGGGCUUC
rnacentral:antisense_RNA from 1 species